GGCGUUAUGGUGUAACGGAAGCACAGCCGAAUGAUAAGCGGAAGGAGCGAGGGUUCGAUUCCCGGAGCGCCCCA
rnacentral:tRNA from 1 species